AACGAACGCUGGCGGCAUGCCUAACACAUGCAAGUCGAACGCCCCGCAAGGGGAGUGGCGAACGGGUGAGUAACGCGUGGGAACCUACCCAGCAGUUGGGGAUAACCGCGGGAAACUGCGGCUAAUACCGAAUACGUCCUUAGGGAGAAAGAUUUAUCGCUGUUGGAGGGGCCCGCGUCGGAUUAGCUAGUUGGUGAGGUAACGGCUCACCAAGGCGACGAUCCGUAGCUGGUCUGAGAGGAUGAUCAGC
rnacentral:rRNA from 1 species